rnacentral:rRNA from 1 species
UACGAAGGGCGCAAGCGUUGUCCGGAAUUAUUGGGCGUAAAGAGCUCGUAGGCGGUUUGUCGCGUCUGCUGUGAAAACCUAAGGCUCAACCUUGGGCUUGCAGUGGGUACGGGCAGACUAGAGUGCGGUAGGGGUGACUGGAAUUCCUGGUGUAGCGGUGGAAUGCGCAGAUAUCAGGAGGAACACCGAUGGCGAAGGCAGGUCACUGGGCCGCAACUGACGCUGAGGAGCGAAAGCAUGGGGAGCGAACAGG